AUUGAACGCUGGCGGCAUGCCUUACACAUGCAAGUCGAACGGCAGCGGGGGAGAAGCUUGCUUUUCCUGCCGGCGAGUGGCGAACGGGCGAGUAAUACAUCGGAACGUGCCCUGUAGUGGGGGAUAACUAGUCGAAAGAUUAGCUAAUACCGCAUACGACCUGAGGGUGAAAGUGGGGGACCGCAAGGCCUCAUGCUAUAGGAGCGGCCGAUGUCUGAUUAGCUAGUUGGUGGGGUAAAGGCCUACCAAGGCGACGAUCAGUAGCUGGUCUGAGAGGACGAUCAGCCACACUGGGACGGGGACACGGCCCAGACUCCUACGGGAGGCAGCAGUGGGGAAUUUUGGACAAUGGGCGAAAGCCUGAUCCAGCAAUGCCGCGUGUGUGAAGAAGGCCUUCGGGUUGUAAAGCACUUUUGACCGGAAAGAAAUGGCUCCGGUUAAUACCUGGGGUCGAUGACGGUACCGGAAGAAUAAGGACCGGCUAACUACGUGCCAGCAGCCGCCGUAAAAC
rnacentral:rRNA from 1 species